rnacentral:rRNA from 1 species
UACGAAGGGUGCAAGCGUUAAUCGGAAUUACUGGGCGUAAAGGGUGCGUAGGCGGUUGUUUAAGUCUGUCGUGAAAUCCCCGGGCUCAACCUGGGAAUGGCGAUGGAUACUGGGCAGCUAGAGUGUGUCAGAGGAUGGUGGAAUUCCCGGUGUAGCGGUGAAAUGCGUAGAGAUCGGGAGGAACAUCAGUGGCGAAGGCGGCCAUCUGGGACAACACUGACGCUGAAGCACGAAAGCGUGGGGAGCAAACAGA